rnacentral:rRNA from 1 species
AUUGAACGCUGGCGGCAGGCUUAACACAUGCAAGUCGAGCGGAGAGAGGUAGCUUGCUACUGAUCUUAGCGGCGGACGGGUGAGUAAUGCUUAGGAAUCUGCCUAUUAGUGGGGGACAACAUUUCGAAAGGAAUGCUAAUACCGCAUACGUCCUACGGGGGAAAGCAGGGGAUCUUCGGACCUUGCGCUAAUAGAUGAGCCUAAGUCGGAUUAGCUAGUUGGUGGGGUAAAGGCCUACCAAGGCGACGAUCUGUAGCGGGUCUGAGAGGAUGAUCAGCCACACUGGGACUGAGACACGGCCCAGACUCCUACGGGAGGCAGCAGUGGGGAAUAUUGGACAAUGGGCGGAAGCCUGAUCCAGCCAUGCCGCGUGUGUGACGAAGGCCUUAUGGUUGUAAAGCACUUUAAGCGAGGAGGAGGCUACUUUAGUUAAUACCUAGAGAUAGUGGACGUUACUCGCAGAAUAAGCACCGGCUAACUCUGUGCCAGCAGCCGCCGCGGUAA